AGGUGCCGGGGAGGAUCAUACUGGCAUGGCCAUAGGGAAGCAAUGGAAGCUGUGGGUUUCAACGACAAGGAGCUAAGGCUGAUGGCAAUGAGGCAGGUCGGAGGGGAGGUGUGACAUGGCAGAGACAGCCAUCAACGCCGCGGCCGGAGACAAAUCCUGGACGAGCAAGGCACUGCUCUGGUGAGUAGUACACUACUCGUUUGAUGCGGUUUUAAAAUGUUCUGAUUGCUACACAUAUGCUUCUAUGUUUCUAUGUGCUUUUGUUCGAGUGAAAUCCGGCAUGAGGGCGGUUUGCAACGGACACGCACUGGUGGCCUCGCUGAUCGAUAUACUUACAUGGAUGCCCUAAAGGGAUGUAAUCACAUGCAGCACCAUAAUCUCUAGUUUGGCAAAGAAUAGGAGAAGUGCUUAGGCUUGACGGUUUUUGACUUGAUGAAAUCUGAAGGAGUGACACCAAACCGUAUAACAAUGAUUAGGGUUGUCUUUGCUUGUAGUCAUGCUAGGUUAGUGGAAGAUGAUUGGUACUACUUUAAGUCGAUGGAGGAGCUUUUUGUCAUUCAAAACGACCAAACGGGGGCCAUCCAACAUGUAACAAAAGCAACAGAAGCAUGGCAUAAUUUCUAGCAGGUUCAAGCACAAGUUAUGAUUGAGCAAGCUGACCAACUUGUACCAAUUGCUCCUAUCAACAUCAUCCUAAUCUAAAGCUAAUAUACUCAUCUACAACUACUAUGCAUGAGCAGCAUUUCUUCUUACAUAUGUAUCUAAGAACAGCACUUCUAUCAUGUGUUGCUCUAAAGCUAUUAUAAUCAUCUGGAACUACUACUCAUGAGUAGCACUUC